CAAUAGCGUAUAUUUAAGUUGUUGCAGUUAAAAAGCUCGUAGUUGGAUUUCUGUUGAGAACGUCCGGUCCGCACUAUGUGCGUGUAUCUGGUUCGGUCUUGGCAUCCUCUUGAGGAACGUAUCUGCGCUUGAUUGCGUGGAGCGGUAUUCAAGACUUUUACUUUGAGGAAAUUAGAGUGUUCACGGCAGGCAAGCGCCUUGAAUACGUUAGCAUGGAAUAAUAAUAUAGGAUCUUGGUUCUAUUUUGUUGGUUUCUAGGGCUAAGGUAAUGAUUAAUAGGGAUAAUUGGGGGCAUUUGUAUUAACGCGUCAGAGGUGGAAUUCUUGGAUUGCGUUACGACAAACUACUGCGAAAGCAUUUGCCAAGGAUGUUUUCAUUGA
rnacentral:rRNA from 1 species